rnacentral:rRNA from 1 species
AACGAACGCUGGCGGCGCGUCUUAAGCAUGCAAGUCGAACGGCAAGAGAGGAGCUUGCUUCUAUCCUAGAGUGGCGGACUGGUGAGGAACACGUGGGUAAUCUACCCUUAAGAUGGGGAUAGCUGCUAGAAAUAGCAGGUAAUACCGAAUACACUCGGCAUAUCCCAAGAGGUGUUGAGGAAAGGAAGCUACGGCUUCGCUUGAGGAUGAGCUUGCGUCCCAUUAGCUAGUUGGUGAGGUAAAGGCCCACCAAGGCGACGAUGGGUAUCCGGCCUGAGAGGGUGAACGGACACAUUGGAACUGAGAUACGGCCCAAACUCCUACGGGAGGCAGCAGCGAAGAAUAUUCCGCAAUGGACGGAAGUCUGACGGAGCGACGCCGCGUGGAUGAAGAAGGCUGAAAAGUUGUAAAAUCCUUUUGUUGAUGAAGAAUAAGGGUGAGAGGGAAUGCUCAUCUGAUGACGGUAAUCGACGAAUAAGCCCCGGCUAAUUACGUG